AUGGCAAGGACGUGGGUCGUCAUGGACAAACUUGAAAAAGAACUCGACGCCAUGCAUUGUGCUAAAAAUGGAGGUGUCACGGACAAUGAAGCCAUUGAGCAGGAUAUUGCUACAAUGUUGUCCGAGAUGAACCAUAUGGGAGCUAUUGACCCGUUUGAGAACAAGGAAGAGGAGCAGCAGCAACCGGAGCUUUCCCGUGUGCACACUCAAGAGCACCGACAAACUCACAUGCGAGAUCAUGAGCUUGAUGGUGCUGUAGGCGAACGACAUGACAAUAGCACAUCCUACCAGCAGCAGCAGGAAAGGGUGAUUAAACCCCCAAUAUUCUCAAACACAAAGGGGAGGAAGAGCAAGGCGCAAGCAGCGAAAGCUGCGAAAGCAACAGCCAAGAAGCCACCACGCCCCAUCAAGCGCGUGGAAUUUGGCCCGGACGGCAAACCCCUCGGGGUAAGGUCAUGCGGAUGCUGCAACGUCAUGAGCAACCAUAACUACCGCACAUGCCCACUCCGCACAGAUGCCACUGUCAACAAGAACAAGCAGAUUGGAGCCACCCAGCUUUCUACCAAUGGAGACAACACACGUGACAAGCGGAUGCUGCAGGAGUCUGGUUUGGAAAUCAACCCCAACAACUUCAUCGACAUGCAGCGCAAGUGGAAAGAUCCAAAGACCAGAAAAUACUAUGACUCCUUGGCCGAUGUUGCAGGCGGCGUCAUCCACCCAUUCUACGAAGGCAUGAAGAAGAAGAUGAAUAGGGCAGACCACAAACUGUGGGGGAACAGCCCGCUGCCAGACAACCUCAUCACGUACGCAGGAAUAGAUGCGUACGCAACGUACAAGUCAUGGAAGACAAUCGACAACAUCAUGACAGGUUGGGAUAUUUCAAAAGAGCAGGAGGCUGACCCCUACUACCACUGCAACUUUGCGGAUGAAGAUGCAUGA
rnacentral:rRNA from 1 species